GCCCGCCUAGCUCAAUCGGAUAGAGCGUCAGACUUUUAAGGCGGUGUUGGCUUUGUGAAUCUGAAGGCUGCGAGUUCGACCCUCGCGGUGGGCU